AGAGUUUGAUCCUGGCUCAGGACGAACGCUGGCGGCGUGCUUAACACAUGCAAGUCGAACGGAAUCCAUGGUGUAGCAAUACACCGGAAGAUUUAGUGGCGAACGGGUGAGGAUCACGUGAGAAACGUGCCCCAGACACUGGGAUAACAAUUGGAAACGAUUGCUAAUACCGGAUGACGUCGGAGAAUCGCAUGAUUCACUGACGAAAGAUAUUUCGGUUUGGGAGCGUCUCGCGGCCUAUCAGCUUGUUGGUGGGGUAAUGGCCUACCAAGGCAACGACGGGUAGCUGGUCUGAGAGGAUGAUCAGCCACACUGGGACUGAGACACGGCCCAGACUCCUACGGGAGGCAGCAGUGGGGAAUCUUGCGCAAUGGGCGAAAGCCUGACGCAGCAACGCCGCGUGCGGGAUGAAGGCCUUCGGGCUGUAAACCGCUUUCAGCAGGAACGAAAAUGACGGUACCUGCAGAAGAAGGAGCGGCCAACUACGUGCCAGCAGCCGCGGUGACACGUAGGCUCCAAGCGUUGUCCGGAUUUAUUGGGCGUAAAGAGCUCGUAGGCGGUUGAGUAAGUCGGGUGUGAAAACUCUGGGCUUAACCCGGAGACGCCAUCCGAUACUGCUCUGACUAGAGUUCAGGAGGGGAGUGGGGGAAUUCCUAGUGUAGCGGUGAAAUGCGCAGAUAUUAGGAGGAACACCGGUGGCGAAGGCGCCACUCUGGACUGAAACUGACGCUGAGGAGCGAAAGCAUGGGUAGCAAACAGGAUUAGAUACCCUGGUAGUCCAUGCCGUAAACGGUGGGCAC
rnacentral:rRNA from 1 species